GUUAAGUCAGUAGCUAGAACAGGUGCUGCAUGGCUGUCGUCAGCUCGUGCCGUGAGGUGUUCGGUUAAGUCCUGCAACGAGCGCAACCCUCGUGGCUAGUUGAAUUUCUCUAGCCAGACCGCCCCGCAAAACGGGGAGGAAGGUGGGGGAUGACGUCAAGUCAGCAUGGCCCUUAUACCCUGGGCUACACACACGCUACAAUGGGUGGUACAAUUGGUUGCGACAGAGCGAUCUGGAGCUAAUCUAUAAAGCCAUCCUCAGUUCGGAUUGCAGACUGCAACUCGCCUGCAUGAAGCCGGAGUUGCUAGUAACCGCAGGUCAGCAUACUGCGGUGAAUACGUUCUCGGGCCUU
rnacentral:rRNA from 1 species